AGCAGCCGCGGUAAUUCCAGCUCCAAUAGCGUAUAUUAAAGUUGUUGCAGUUAAAAAGCUCGUAGUUGAAUUUCGGGGUCAGUAGAUUGGUCGUGCCACUGGUAUGUACUGGUCUUACUGGCUCCUCCUUCCUGAUGAACCGUAAUGCCAUUAAUUUGGUGUUGCGGGGAGACUGGACUGUUACUUUGAAAAAAUUAGAGUGUUUAAAGCAGGCUAACGCUUGAAUACAUUAGCAUGGAAUAAUGAAAUAGGACGUUCGAUCUUAUUUUGUUGGUUUCUAGGAUUGACGUAAUGAUUAAUAGGGAUAGUUGGGGGCAUUAGUAUUCAAUUGUCAGAGGUGAAAUUCUUGGAUUUAUUGAAGACUAACUACUGCGAAAGCAUUUGCCAAGGAUGUUUUCAUUAAUCAAGAACGAAAGUUAGGGGAUCGAAGACGAUCAGAUACCGUCGUAGUCUUAACCAUAAACUAUGCCGACUAGGGAUCGGAUGAUGUUAAUUUUUAAUGACUCAUUCGGCGCCUUAA
rnacentral:rRNA from 1 species